GACAGAGGGUGCAAACGUUGUUCGGAAUUACUGGGCGUAAAGCGUGUGUAGGCGGCUUGGCAAGUUGGAUGUGAAAGCCCACGGCUCAACCGUGGAAGCGCACCCAAAACUGCUUCGCUCGAGUCUCGGAGAGGAGGGUGGAAUGCUUGGUGCAGAGGUGAAAUUCGUAGAUAUCAAGCAGAGCACCUGCGGCGAAGGCGGCCUUCUGGACGAUGACUGACGCUGAGACACGAAAGCGUGGGGAGCAAACAGG
rnacentral:rRNA from 1 species